UAUCUACUCCCUCCAUUCGGAAUUACUUGUCUCGGAAAUGGAUGUAUCUAGAACUAAAAUACGUCUAGAUACAUCCAUUUCUACGACAAGUAAUUCCGAACAGAGGGAGUACUCU
rnacentral:pre_miRNA from 1 species